AUGGGCAGUUCUGGCUGGGACGAGGCUUAUGGGCAGUUCUGGCUGGGACGAGGCUUAUGGGCAGUUCUGGCUGGGACGAGGCUUAUGGGCAGUUCUGGCUGGGACGAGGCUUAUGGGCAGUUCUGGCUGGGACGAGGCUUAUGGGCAGUUCUGGCUGGGACGAGGCUUACUUAGCUAUAGCAAAACAUUUACACAUAUUUAGUUUGUGUGUUUGUGUAUCGGGUCUAAACUGGAGGUUCAGGAUGGGGCAUGACUGGACUGGAAGUGUUGGAAUUCCUUAGCUGGAAUUCUGGGACAUUUUGGGGGGAGGGGAGAGAGGGAGAGUUAGAGAGAAAGGUGAGGGGGGGUAGAGGGAGGAGAAGAAGAAGAAGAAGAAGAGAUUGAUGGGAGUGAAAAGUUUGAAUCCUUCUAAAAAAAUAGCAGGAACUUGUUUGAGCAUGUACUUUAUAUUUUCCUGUCUCCCCUCUCUGAGGGUGUGUAUAAUUAAAAAAUGUUCAUAUAUACUGUAUCAUAAGAAAUACUGCAGUCAUCCACGAGAUAUUUUUCUAUUUACAUAGAUGAUGUAAAUACGGCUAGUUAAUGUAAAUACGGCUAGUUAAUGUAAAUACGGCUAGUUAAUGUAAAUACGUCUAGUUAAUGUAAAUACGGCUAGUUAAUGUAAAUACGGCUAGUUAGGCUGUAGGUGACAGGGUCCGUGAGGCUGUAGGUGACAGGGUCCGUGAGGCUGUAGGUGACUGGGUCCGCGAGGCUGUAGGUGACUGGGUCCGCGAGGCUGUAGGUGACUGGGUCCGCGAGGCUGUAGGUGACUGGGUCCGCGAGGCUGUAGGUGACUGGGUCCGCGAGGCUGUAGGUGACUGGGUCCGCGAGGCUGUAGGUGACUGGGUCCGCGAGGCUGUAGGUGACUGGGUCCGCGAGGCUGUAGGUGACUGGGUCCGCGAGGCUGUAGGUGACUGGGUCCGCGAGGCUGUAGGUGACUGGGUCCGCGAGGCUGUAGGUGACUGGGUCCGCGAGGCUGUAGGUGACUGGGUCCGCGAGGCUGUAGGUGACUGGGUCCGCGAGGCUGUAGGUGACUGGGUCCGCGAGGCUGUAGGUGACUGGGUCCGCGAGGCUGUAGGUGACUGGGUCCGCGAGGCUGUAGGUGACUGGGUCCGCGAGGCUGUAGGUGACUGGGUCCGCGAGGCUGUAGGUGACUGGGUCCGCGAGGCUGUAGGUGACUGGGUCCGCGAGGCUGUAGGUGACUGGGUCCGCGAGGCUGUAGGUGACUGGGUCCGCGAGGCUGUAGGUGACUGGGUCCGCGAGGCUGUAGGUGACUGGGUCCGCGAGGCUGUAGGUGACUGGGUCCGCGAGGCUGUAGGUGACUGGGUCCGCGAGGCUGUAGGUGACUGGGUCUGCGAGGCUGUUUGCACACCAGUGAGUUGAGUUAACUUUGUAGUGCGUCUAGCUCAGGGCUGCCCAACCCUGUUCCUGGAGAAUUUAGUACAUCUGAUUGUACUUAUUAGCUGACCCUGACCUUUAUUAACUGACCCUGACCUUUAUUAGCUGACCCUGACCUUUAUUAGCUGACCCUGACCUUUAUUAGCUGACCCUGACCUGUAUUAGCUGACCCUGACCUUUAUUAGCUGACCUUUAUUAGCUGACCUUUAUUAGCUGACCUUUAUUAGCUGACCCUGACCUUUAUUAGCUGACCUUUAUUAGCUGACCUUUAUUAGCUGACCCUGGCCUUUAUUAGCUGACCCUGACCUUUAUUAGCUGACCCUGACCUUUAUUAGCUGACCUUUAUUAGCUGACCCUGACCUUUAUUAGCUGACCCUGACCUUUAUUAGCUGACCUUUAUUAGCUGACCUUGACCUUUAUUAGCUGACCUUUAUUAGCUGACCCUGACCUUUAUUAGCUGACCCUGACCUUUAUUAGCUGACCUUUAUUAGCUGACCCUGACCUUUAUUAGCUGACCUUUAUUAGCUGACCCAGACCUUUAUUAGCUGACCUUUAUUAGCUGACCUUGACCUUUAUUAGCUGACCUUUAUUCGCUGACCCUGACCUUGGUUGUGUUCCCCUACUCGGACUUUGCAUUCAUCAACCAAUGGUUGUGCCACGUCAUCGACAGUGCAGUCAGACACCAGAUUGCUCUAACAUUAUGUGUUUAGCGGAUAGAUAAAAUACCUAUCCAGGCGUAAGAUCUCGAAUGUGUCAGAAACAUUAAGCAGGGAAACAACCCUUGUCUAGCUGAAUCAGAUUCGUUAGGUUAUGGUUGGACUAACCCUACAGUACAGAAGGGUAGAUCUCCAGGAACAGGGUAGAUGUCCAGGAACAGGGUAGAUGUCCAGGAACAGGGUAGAUGUCCAGGAACAGGGUAGAUGUCCAGGAACAGGGUAGAUGUCCAGGAACAGGGUAGAUGUCCAGGAACAGGGUAGAUGUCCAGGAACAGGGUAGAUGUCCAGGAACAGGGUAGAUGUCCAGGAACAGAGUAGAUCUCCAGGAACAGAGUAGAUCUCCAGGAACAGAGUAGAUCUCCAGGGACAGGGUAGAUCUCCAGGGACAGGGUAGAUCUCCAGGGACAGGGUAGAUCUCCAGGGACAGGGUAGAUCUCCAGGGACAGGGUAGAUCUCCAGGGACAGGGUAGAUCUCCAGGGACAGGGUAGAUCUCCAGGGACAGGGUAGAUCCCCAGCUGUAGAAUAACUCUACUACCACUAGGUGGCACUGCAGGGUGUUGACGGCAACAGAGACAGGAGUAGCAGUGGCAAUGUGCAUUGAAUGUGACUGUUAGUGAAAUGAGUGAGCUUCUGCAUAGCUUGAUGAUGAGUUGAUUAGUGAACUCAGCUGUGUAGUGCGAAGGCACAAACAAAAAUGUCCCUCUGUCACCCUCUCUCCAACUUUUCUACCAUGUGUAAUGUGCAUACUGAAUGUCUGUAGACCAUUGAAAUGUAUGAGGGAUGCAGCCAGUCCUCCAGGUUGUGCAGCAGCUCCUACAUUAUUUGAUGAGAACUCUGAUGGGUCUGUGUGUUUUUAUGACAAAGUAUUGAUUCCCUC